CAGAGUCCUCCAGCUGGUAGUCUUCCUGACAUAUAACUCUGGUUCAGCACUAGCUGCACUGAGGUGGGGCAUGAAAAGCAAGAUUGAAUGAGAAUCCUUGGUCUAGAAGACUUGACAGUAUCAACUAAUUGGAGACCACUGCUUUCAGGACGAACGUCCCUGUUUCUUGCUGCCUGUCAUCUGGGGAUGUCCUGGAACUUCUAACAGCAUCCCUUCGGUCCCUCCACAUAGCCUCCUGCAUCUCAGAAUUGUGGCGUGUUGGAUUCUUCUCGCACUGCUUCGUCUCUCUGACUGACUCUUCUGCCUUCCUCUUCUAUUUUGUAAGGGCUCAUGUGAUUGCAUUGGUUCUACCUAGAUAAUCUCCCUUUCUUAAGUUCCGCUGAUUACUAGUACCUUAGCUCCAGCUGCAAUAUCCCUUCACAGAACUUCCUAGAUUAGCAGUUGACUGAAAAAUUAGGGGACAGGGAUCUUGGGUGAGUGGGGGUCUUUAUAUAUUUCCUACCACUGGGAAGAUGACUGAAAAGUAAGUAUAGGAGAUGACUUUCAGAUUUCUAGUUUGGAUGAUGUCACUUAAUUAGGUUCCUCAAUGUGUAUGCUUGGAGGAUCUUUCAUCUUACACACACACACACACACACACACACACACACACACAGCAUUACAGCAUGAGGGAGACUCUGCUACAUGCAGUCUUAGAUAGAUUACUACCCCUGGUUGUUACCUGCUUUUCCCCCCAACUAAACUGGGACAGGAAAGGUAUAAUAGAAAUCUAAGAAAAUAAACAAGCAAGCAAAUAAACAGAGUUUUAAGCUUUAUAACCAACUCAAUAGCUUUCCCUAAUCUGGCCCCUCCCCUAAGCCUCCUUAGCUUUGUAGAAUUAAAGGGCAUAUCCCAAGCAGAAAGCACUCCCAGAGACAAUCAGAUGGGAGAAGAGAAAAUGAUGUGGGUACCAGAUUCAAAGUCCCCCAACAGCUACCUACCAAAGUCUACUAGAGUCUCUUGCAGCUCUUAGAGAGUGAUCUACUGUCCUUUGCACUCAGAAGGGAAAUACUCUACUCCCUCCACUCAGUUUUCUAAUUUCUGUGGUCUAUCCUUUUCUCUCUCUGUCUGUCUCACCUCACAUAAUAACCUAGAGACUAUCAAGCUCUUUUCCUGGGGUGGAUGAGCUGACAGAAAGGAGGAUGAAAAAGGGUACAUGAGAACAAAAAGAAGAAAGAAACCAAUGUUGCAUAA